rfam:Bartonella clarridgeiae strain 73, complete genome
GCGCCCAUCGUCUAGCGGUUAGGACAUCGCCCUUUCACGGCGGAAACAGGGGUUCGAUUCCCCUUGGGCGUA